AACAAUCCACACGAAACAUUUGACUUUAGUAAGGAGUUGAGAAUAUGGGCAUGCAAACAUAAGUUAUCCAGAUCUGCCAUUGGUGACAUGUUAACACUACUUCGAAGAGCAGGUCAUCAACUUCCAAAGGACCCACGCACAUUUCUGUCAACACCACGGACUGUUACUGUGCAGGAGAAAUGUGGAGGAUAUUACUCCUAUUUUGGCCUAGAGUUUUACAUAGAGAAAAUAAUAUCAAAUAACCCUGCAUACCUCCAAGACCAUAAUUCAAUUGAGUUACAUGUCAAUAUUGAUGGUGUACCUCUCUUCAAGUCAACAAGUGAUCAGUUUUGGCCAAUACUGCUGACUUUCAGUACUUUUCGACCUUUUUUGGUAGCAGUUUUUUUAGGGGAAUCAAAACCAAAUGGUGUAGGUGAUUUCCUUGAAGAUUUUUUAGAAGAAUACUCCAGAUUAAAGGUGUCAGGAAUUAGGGUGAUGGACAAAGUGUUGACUGUGUCAGUCAAAUGCUUUAUUUGUGAUACACCUGCAAGGUCAUUUUUGAAGUGCAUCAAAGGACAUACAGGUUAUCAUUCGUGCGAAAGAUGUGUGGUGAAAGGCUCUUGGAACAAAAGAAUCAUUUUGUACACCCCACAACCAUUGCCAAAAAGAACUGAUGAAGCUUUUAGCCAGGUUGCAUAUGGAGAAACACAUCAGAUUGCAAAAUCACCACUGAUUGAUGCUGAUAUUCUUUGCAUAAAAGGAUUUCCUUUGGACUGCAUGCACUUGGUCUGCCUUGGAGUGGUAAGAAGAAUUCUGUUGUUUUGGAAAAAUGGGCCUAGAUCUUGUAAGUUGUCCAAAUAGCUACUUGAUGUUAUAUCUAAGAAUUUGAAGGAUUUAUCACAAAAGUUGCCUUUUGAGUUUGCAAGGCAGCCACGAUCAUUGGACGAACUGGACAGAUGGAAGGCCACUGAAUUCCGGCAAUUUCUCUUGUAUACUGGUCCUGUUGUUCUGAGGAAUGUACUUCCAAAUAACACCUACAAGCACUUCCUAACACUAACCGUGGCUAUGUCAAUCCUUUUGGACGAAGACAGUACAAAGCGUAAUUAUUUUUUGAGGUAUGCAGAUGAACUUCUAAAUUACUUUGUGAACAGUAGCAGAGAAAUUUAUGGAGAAAGCUUCAUUGUCUACAAUGUACAUCCAUUAAUCCAUUUAGCAGAUGAUGUAGAAAAUCACAGACGCUCAUUGAAUGAUAUAUGCGGGUUUCCAUUCGAAAACCAUUUGCAGAGUAUUAAGAAAUUGGUGAAGAAUUCCCAAAACCCAAUAGCACAGGUGGCAAAAAGGCUAGCUGAGGCUGAUGAAGUAGGUGCCUCUUGUCAUCAUCAAAAUACACACUUCAGGUUCAUCUCAACAAGGAAAAGAGACAACUGUUUCUUACUUGAAAGUGGUGACUUUGCUUUCAUUCAAGAAAAAAGAGAUAAUGGAUGCUAUGUUUGUGACAUAGUAAGACAAGAAGACACUGAGGAUUUUUUCAGCCAUCCUUGCAGAUCGAGUAUGUUCAACAUUGUUUACUUAAAUGAAAACACAAUAAGAAAAAGAAAAUAUUUUCGCAUAGCGCAGUUGAUGCGAAAGGUGGUCUGUCUUCCAUAUCGGAAUGGACAUGUGUUGCUGCCGCUGUUACAUGGUGAUGAACACUAUUGAAACGCAUGGAGAGAAUGAAAUGGGCACGGGCUGUCUGGAUAGAGAAUUCCCGCGAAGAAGAGGGUGUUGUUCCACUAAACUGGAUCAAAGACAAAAAUGUGUUUUGGCCAGCGGUCACCAAUGCUAGUGUUUUACACAAGAGGUGCGCUGAGCCCGAUGUAGAAAAAUUGAGAAAAUUUAAGCUUAUAAAGAUAAAACAUUCAUCUGUCAAUAUGGAAGAGUGUGAAGAGUAUAAUAUAACCACGGCUGUUGAUAAUACUGACAAAGAAAUUCCUAAGAAGCGCCAGGCUAAGCGAAAACACAC